rnacentral:rRNA from 1 species
GUAGGUGGGUUUGUAAGUCAGAUGUGAAAGCCUUCUGUUCAAAGGAAGAACGGCAUCUGAAACUGCAGAUCUUGAGUGUAGGAGGGGAGAGUGGAACUUCUGGUGGAGCGGUGAAAUGCGUAGAUAUCAGAAGGAACGUCGGCGGCGAAAGCGACUCUCUGGCCUAUUACUGACACUGAGUGUGCGAAAGUUAGGGGAGCAAACGGGAUUAGAUACCCAGGUAGUCCUAACUGUAAACGAU